AUGAGGAUGCGCUCACGCGCUCUGCUCGUCCUCCUCCUCUGCUCUCUCCUCGCCGGCGCGGCCAACGCCGAGCCCUCUCCGGACCCGACGUACAAGGACUGCCACCCAGGCGACAAGGCGGCGCUGCUCGCCGUCAAGGCCGCCCUCGGGAACGCCUACCACUUCGCGUCGUGGACGCCCGACAACCCCUGCUGCGACUGGUACGACGUCACCUGCGACCACUUCACCGGGCGCGUCGUCGGCCUCGCCGUCUUCCAGGACGCCAACCUCACGGGCACCAUCCCCACCGCCCUCGCCGGCCUCCCACACCUGCAGGACCUCACCCUGCGCCACCUCCCGGCGCUCUCGGGCCCUAUACCGCCGGCCAUCGGCAAGCUCUCCAACCUCUCGAGCCUUCGCAUCUCCUGGACAGCCGUGUCGGGCCCCGUGCCGUCCUUCCUGGGCGCGCUCAAGAAGCUCACCUUCCUUGAGCUCUCCUUCAACUCGCUCACCGGCGCCAUCCCGGCGUCGUUGGGGACCAUCCCCAACCUGUCCGGCAUCAACCUCAGCCGCAACCGCCUCACCGGCGCCAUCCCCUCGAUGUUCCUCAGCAAGUCUGCGGACGAGGUCUACCUCUGGCUGUCGCACAACAACCUCACGGGACCAGUCCCGGCCGGGUUCGCCGCCGUGAACUUUGCGCACCUCGACCUGUCGCGCAACGACCUGACCGGCGACGCGUCAGGCCUCUUUGGCCGCGGGAAGGAGUUGCAGUACAUCGACCUGUCCCGCAACGCCUUCGAUUUCGACCUCUCGGGCGUGGUGCUCCCGGAGCAGCUCUACUUCGUCGACGUGAGCCACAAUGCCAUCCAUGGCAGCAUCCCGGCGCAGGUCGCCAACUUGUCCAAUCUGCAGUUCUUCAACGUCAGCUACAACAGGCUCUGCGGCCCUAUACCCACCGGCGGGAACACGGCGAGGUUCGAUCUCUACAACUUUCAGCAUAACAAGUGCCUCUGCGGUGCUCCACUCCCUGCAUGCAAGAAAUAG
rnacentral:rRNA from 1 species